rnacentral:rRNA from 1 species
AUUGAACGCUGGCGGCAGGCUUAACACAUGCAAGUCGAGCGGAGAUGAGGUGCUUGCACCUUAUCUUAGCGGCGGACGGGUGAGUAAUGCUUAGGAAUCUGCCUAUUAGUGGGGGACGACAUUCCGAAAGGAAUGCUAAUACCGCAUACGCCCUACGGGGGAAAGCAGGGGAUCUUCGGACCUUGCGCUAAUAGAUGAGCCUAAGUCGGAUUAGCUAGUUGGUGGGGUAAAGGCCUACCAAGGCGACGAUCUGUAGCGGGUCUGAGAUGAUGAUCCGCCACACUGGGACUGAGACACGGCCCAGACUCCUACGGGAGGCAGCAGUGGGGAAUGUUGGACAAUGGGCGGAAGCCUGAUCCAGCCAUGCCGCGUGUGUGAAGAAGGCCUUUUGGUUGUAAAGCACUUUAAGCGAGGAGGAGGCUACCUGGAUUAAUACUCUAGGAUAGUGGACGUUACUCGCAGAAUAAGCACCGGCUAACUCUGUGCCAGCCGCCGCCGUAAUAC